UGCCAUUAUGUACAAGGAAGGGCGCUACCU
rnacentral:piRNA from 1 species